rnacentral:rRNA from 1 species
UACGUAGGUGGCGAGCGUUGUCCGGAUUUAUUGGGCGUAAAGGGAGCGUAGGCGGACUUUUAAGUGAGAUGUGAAAUACUCGGGCUCAACUUGAGUGCUGCAUUUCAAACUGGAAGUCUAGAGUGCAGGAGGGGAGAAUGGAAUUCCUAGUGUAGCGGUGAAAUGCGUAGAGAUUAGGAAGAACACCAGUGGCGAAGGCGAUUCUCUGGACUGUAACUGACGCUGAGGCUCGAAAGCGUGGGGAGCAAACAGG